ensembl:lncRNA
AUGAUUUUUAUGAAUAAUCAAAAAUAUAUUACAUUGUCCAGAAGUGUUCAAUGUAUAUUGCCUACAUUUUGUUGGAUGUUGCAAACAAUGACAUCAGCAUUUUUGUUCACCAGAUCCCAAACUGUAUAUCUUCUCAUGUACAGAGCCACGGAGUCUCAGAUGCCCAGUGAAAAUAGUGAGCAGGAUAAAUCGACACAAGAAGAAAAGAAUCAAGUGGCAGUGGACACUAAGGAUGAAAAGAGGAAGAAAAUAGAGCAGGAGGAUGACAAUGCGAUACACACAAAAACAGAUGUUCAGCCAGACAGACCUCAUCAUGGCCUAUAUAAUCAGGGAGCCACAUGUUACCUCAACAGUGUCCUGCAAGUUCUCUUUAUGACGACUGAGUCCCAUGACAGGUUCGAACCACAAUCACAAACAGAUCGUCGAUUGAGAAAAAUCUUUGAAGACAUGAAGAAGAAAACAUGUAAAACAAAAAAAGUCACUGCAACACUGGGCAUUGAAAACGUUGAUGAACGCCGUGAUGCAGCUGAAUGUCUGGAGAUGAUCCUACAUAAGGUCAGCCCACAGGCCGCUGAGGUGAGCAGUCUACAACAA